GCGCUUAAUGGGUUAACUGAUCUAUCUGCCCAUGUGUCUAGUUAACCCAUUGGGUCGCAUUGCACCCUGAUGCACCCUACUUUAGUAUUUUACUCUGUCUAACAGCAGAGUAUUUUACUCUGUCUAACGCCAGACGAUUUUACUCGUCAAGGGGAGAGCGCUGGCGCUUAAUGGGUUAACACGCCCAAAAUCUGUACUAAAACUGCUAAUUCUGUUUUGUGAUUGGCACAGUUUAAUCAAAGAAACCUCCCGUUGAACAAGAGCCUUCACGAUAUUUCAAUUUAUUAUUAACUGAAGGCUCUGGAAUCCAGGAUAGC
rnacentral:lncRNA from 1 species